rnacentral:lncRNA from 1 species
GACAGUGGUGAUGGCAAUGACGUCAUCAGGUUGUUAGGUCUCGAACCUGGGACAAAUGGCUAACUGGGGUGCCUAUUCAUGUAUCAAAUUGGACGCUGUCCUCCAGCCUCUCCUUCAGCAUCACCAGUACCUGUUAGGGCAUCAUCCUAGCUGGCAUGCCCUGCCCUGUACACCAGGCUCUCCAGCCUGACGGUUGAGGAGUUCUUUCCACAGCCUGUGGGACCAGCAAAGACAAAAGCCCCCAAGUCUGGACAACCUCUGACAGCUAAUCAGAUCCCCAAGAGGGCAGCUUGUCCUAGACACGGCUAUACCCAGUGUGUUAGAGCUGGGUCAUCAUAGCCUCCUACUGGGACAGCAUCUAACAGACCUCACCAGGACCCCAAAAGAGUGACACAGUCAGGUUGGAUCAGGGAUCACUUGAUCCCAGUCACUCUGUAAAGAUCCUGCCCCCAAAGACAGCUCCAUGCUGAGGACCAGAUCAGAUAACCUUGGACGCUCAUGUUACAGCCCACCUAACCACACAUUUGUGAAGGACAUAAGGCUUGGACAUCCAGGAACAGCUCAGCCUCCUGCCUGAAGCCGUACCACUCUAAGGUAUAUGCCACCAGGUUGUCAAACUGCAGGCUGGCCCAGGAUAAAGAUUUCCCAAUA